CCUACGGGUGGCAGCAGUGGGGAAUAUUGGACAAUGGGGGAAACCCUGAUGCAGCGACGCCGCGUGAGUGAAGAAGUAUUUCGGUAUGUAAAGCUCUAUCAACAGGGAAGAAGAAAGUGACUGUAUGUGACUAAAGAGCCGCCGCUAACUACGUGCCAACAGCCGCGGUAAUGCGUAGGGGGCAAGCGUUAUCCGGAUUUACUGGGUGUAAAGGGAGCGUAGACGGCGGUGCAAGUCUGAAGUGAAAGGCCGGGGCUCAACCCUCGGACUGCUUUGGAAACUGUAUGGCUGGAGUGCAGGAGAGGUAAGUGGAAUUCCUAGUGUAGCGGUGAAAUGCGUAGAUAUUAGGAGGAACACCAGUGGCGAAGGCGGCUUACUGGACUGUAACUGACGUUGAGGCUCGAAAGCGUGGGGAGCAAACAGGAUUAGAUACCCCAGUAGUC
rnacentral:rRNA from 1 species